rnacentral:rRNA from 1 species
CUGCCAGACUCCUACGGGAGGCAGCAGUGAGGAAUAUUGGUCAAUGGUCGGGAGACUGAACCAGCCAAGCCGCGUGAGGGAGGAAGGUACAGAGUAUCGUAAACCUCUUUUGUCAGGGAACAAAGACUGGGACGCGUCCCCGGAUGAGUGUACCUGAAGAAAAAGCAUCGGCUAACUACGUGCCAGCAGCCGCGGUAAUACGUAGGGGGCAAGCGUUAUCCGGAUUUACUGGGUGUAAAGGGAGCGUAGACGGCGACGCAAGUCUGAAGUGAAAUGCCAGUGCUCAACACUGGAACUGCUUUGGAAACUGUGUAGCUAGAGUGCAGGAGAGGUAAGUGGAAUUCCUAGUGUAGCGGUGAAAUGCGUAGAUAUUAGGAGGAACACCAGUGGCGAAGGCGGCUUACUGGACUGUAACUGACGUUGAGGCUCGAAGGCGUGGGGAGCAAACAGGAUUAGAUACCCGAGUA